rnacentral:rRNA from 1 species
UACGUAGGGGGCAAGCGUUGUUCGGAAUUACUGGGCGUAAAGGGCGCGUAGGCGGCAGGCCAAGUCGGGAGUGAAAGCCCGGGGCUCAACCCCGGAAUGUCUUUCGAAACUGGCCAGCUGGAGUGCGGAAGAGGCAACUGGAAUUCCCAGUGUAGCGGUGAAAUGCGUAGAUAUUGGGAAGAACACCUGAGGCGAAGGCGGGUUGCUGGGCCGACACUGACGCUGAGGCGCGAAAGCCAGGGGAGCGAACGGG